AAUCCAUAGGUUAAUGAGGCGAACCGGGGGAACUGAAACAUCUAAGUACCCCGAGGAAAAGAAAUCAACCGAGAUUCCCCCAGUAGCGGCGAGCGAACGGGGAGGAGCCCAGAGCCUGAAUCAGCAUGUGUGUUAGUGGAAGCGUCUGGAAAGGCGCGCGAUACAGGGUGACAGCCCCGUACACAAAAGCGCAUGUGCUGUGAGCUCGAUGAGUAGGGCGGGACACGUGGUAUCCUGUCUGAAUAUGGGGGGACCAUCCUCCAAGGCUAAAUACUCCUGACUGACCGAUAGUGAACCAGUACCGUGAGGGAAAGGCGAAAAGAACCCCGGCGAGGGGAGUGAAAAAGAACCUGAAACCGUGUACGUACAAGCAGUGGGAGCCCCACCACCAAAGCAUUUGCUGUACCGCGUUGACGGAGCGAAGCGACGUCAAACCGAUAAAACAGCAGUGUAAAGUGAGCCGCAGGGCGCUUUGCGCGACAG
rnacentral:rRNA from 2 species